AUUGAACGCUGGCGGCAGGCUUAACACAUGCAAGUCGAGCGCGAAAGUUCCUUCGGGAGCGAGUAGAGCGGCGGACGGGUGAGUAACGCAUGGGAAUCUGCCCAGUAGAGGGGGACAACAGUCGGAAACGACUGCUAAUACCGCAUACGCCCUAAGGGGGAAAGGCCGGGAUCUUCGGGCCGGUCGCUAUUGGAUGAGCCCAUGUCGGAUUAGCUAGUUGGUGGGGUAAAGGCCUACCAAGGCGACGAUCCGUAGCUGGUCUGAGAGGAUGAUCAGCCACACUGGAACUGAGACACGGUCCAG
rnacentral:rRNA from 1 species